rnacentral:rRNA from 1 species
UCCUACGGGAGGCAGCAGUGGGGAAUCUUGGACAAUGGGCGCAAGCCUGAUCCAGCCAUGCCGCGUGUGUGAUGAAGGCCUUAGGGUCGUAAAGCACUUUCGCCAGAGAUGAUAAUGACAGUAUCUGGUAAAGAAACCCCGGCUAACUCCGUGCCAGCAGCCGCGGUAAUACGGAGGGGGUUAGCGUUGUUCGGAAUUACUGGGCGUAAAGCGCACGUAGGCGGAUUAGUCAGUCAGAGGUGAAAUCCCAGGGCUCAACCCUGGAACUGCCUUUGAUACUGCUAGUCUUGAGUUCGAGAGAGGUGAGUGGAAUUCCGAGUGUAGAGGUGAAAUUCGUAGAUAUUCGGAGGAACACCAGUGGCGAAGGCGGCUCACUGGCUCGAUACUGACGCUGAGGUGCGAAAGUGUGGGGAGCAAACAGGAUUAGAUACCCUGGUAGUCCACACCGUAAACGAUGAAUGCCAGUCGUCGGGUAGUAUACUAUUCGGUGACACACCUAACGGAUUAAGCAUUCCGCCUGGGGAGUACGGUCGCAAGAUUAAAACUCAAAGGAAUUGACGGA